CCUACGGGAGGCAGCAGUAGGGAAUAUUGGGCAAUGGACGCAAGUCUGACCCAGCCAUGCCGCGUGCAGGAAGAAGGCGUUAUGCGUUGUAAACUGCUUUUAUACAGGAAGAAACGACCCUUGCGAGAGGCAUUGACGGUACUGUAUGAAUAAGCACCGGCUAACUCCGUGCCAGCAGCCGCGGUAAUACGGAGGGUGCAAGCGUUGUCCGGAUUUAUUGGGUUUAAAGGGUGCGCAGGUGGUUUAUUAAGUCAGUGGUGAAAGACGGUCGCUCAACGAUUGCAGUGCCAUUGAAACUGGUAGACUUGAGUAAAGUAGAGGUGGGCGGAAUUGAUAGUGUAGCGGUGAAAUGCAUAGAUAUUAUCAAGAACUCCAAUUGCGAAGGCAGCUCACUUGGCUUUUACUGACACUCAUGCACGAAAGUGUGGGUAUCAAACAGGAUUAGAUACCCUGGUAGUCCACACUGUAAACGAUGAUAACUAGGUGUCGGCCGAAUCUGGUCGGUGCCACAGCGAAAGCGUUAAGUUAUCCACCUGGGGAGUACGCCGGCAACGGUGAAACGUCAAAGAGUAGUACGACGNGAGAGAGCGACGACGGACGACGAGGAGGGAGGAGG
rnacentral:rRNA from 1 species